GCUGGCGUAGCUCAGUUGGUAGAGCUCCUCACUUGUAAUGAGGAGGUCGCCCGUUCGAUUCGGGUCGCCAGCUCCA
rnacentral:tRNA from 1 species